GAUCAACGCUGGCGGCGUGCCUCAGACAUGCAAGUCGAACGCGAAAGUUUCCUUCGGGAAGCAAGUAGAGUGGCGUCCGGGUGAGUAACACGUAGGUAAUCUACCUUUGGGUGGGGAAUAACAACCGGAAACGGUUGCUAAUACCGCAUAAUGCAGCGGCAUCACAUGAUGACAGUUGUUAACGCGGGGAGUCGCAAGACCUCGCGCCUAAAGAGGAGCCUGCGGCGGAGUUAGCUAGUUGGUAGGGUAACGGG
rnacentral:rRNA from 1 species